rnacentral:lncRNA from 1 species
UAAGUUAGCUGGCAGUUCCUCAUUAUCUUCCUCAUUUUGGGGGGAGUGGGGCAUGUAAAGAGUGAGUUCCAUAAGCUUAGUAAAGAAAACAGUAUUUAAAUAACAUCUAAGGUUUUAAAGGUGAAUUAUUCUAAUAUAAACACUUACCAUUUGAUUGCUUCAUAGACUUAUAUUAUUUUAUGAAAACAAUUUAUUUAUUAGAGAAAACAUCAUGUUAAUAUAAUCAAGACAAACAUACAACAUACCAGAUAAUAGAGAAAAUUA